rnacentral:rRNA from 1 species
UACGUAGGGUGCAAGCGUUGUCCGGAAUUAUUGGGCGUAAAGAGCUCGUAGGCGGUCUGUCGCGUCUGCUGUGAAAACUCGGGGCUUAACCCCGGGCCUGCAGUGGGUACGGGCAGACUAGAGUGCGGUAGGGGAGACUGGAAUUCCUGGUGUAGCGGUGAAAUGCGCAGAUAUCUGGAGGAACACCGGUGGCGAAGGCGGCAUCCUGGACCGGUAUUGACGCUGAGGCGCGAAAGCCAGGGGAGCAAACGGG